rnacentral:rRNA from 1 species
AGUGAACGCUGGCGGUAGGCCUAACACAUGCAAGUCGAACGGCAGCACAGUAAGAGCUUGCUCUUACGGGUGGCGAGUGGCGGACGGGUGAGGAAUACAUCGGAAUCUACUUUUUCGUGGGGGAUAACGGAGGGAAACUUACGCUAAUAACGCAUAAGACCUAAGGGGGAAAGCAGGGGAUCUUCGGACCUUGCGCGAUUGAAUGAGGCGAUGUCGGAUUAGCUAGUUGGCGGGGUAAAGGCCCACCAAGGCGACGAUCCGUAGCUGGUCUGAGAGGAUGAUCAGCCACACUGGAACUGAGACACGGUCCAGACUCCUACGGGAGGCAGCAGUGGGGAAUAUUGGACAAUGGGCGCAAGCCUGAUCCAGCCAUACCGCGUGGGUGAAGAAGGCCUUCGGGUUGUAAAGCCCUUUUGUUGGGAAAGAAAAGCAGCAGGUUAAUACCCCGCUGUUCUGACGGUACCCAAAGAAUAAGCACCGGCUAACUUCGUG